GCAAGUCGAACGAGAAAGCACCUUCGGGUGUGAGUAAAGUGGCGCACGGGUGAGUAACGCGUAGAUAAUCUACCCAGGUAUUUGGGACAACAUCGGGAAACUGAUGCUAAUACCGAAUACGUUUCUUAUGUUGCGAAACAAGAGAAAGAAAGGUGGCCUCUCCUUGGAAGCUACCGUACCUGGAUGAGUCUGCGUACCAUUAGCUAGUUGGUAGGGUAAUGGCCUACCAAGGCUACGAUGGUUAGCGGGUCUGAGAGGAUGAUC
rnacentral:rRNA from 1 species